CUGCAUGUCAGUUGGCUGUGUGACAGAAUUGCUUUUUGAGCAUAGCUGUCUCUUGAAGUUAUGUCUGUGCAGAGUUUCCUUGCAGCAUGAUGUUACGAUGCCUUGCUGAAUAUGAUCCUCAGGAGAAGCUUGAGGAGUCCUAGAGUGUAUUGUCACCAAACAGCUGUUCCUCAUGGCUGCAUCAGCCCACAAGGCAAAGUGAAGUGGAUAAAACUUUCUUGCAUGUGUGUGCUUCCAGCUGUAUUUGUAGGCACUUGAGAAGAUGCUUCAGAAUUCCUUAUUAAUUUCAGAAAAAUCAUGUGUUUAACUCUGAAAUGUAGCUGCUUCUCUUUGAAACCUGCCAUCUUCAGGUCCAGCUUUUCUAGAAUGGAUUUAACCUCUUCCCACUGUGCAGAAAAAUACUGUAAAAUUUGGUCAGGUCAAAAGGCAUGACAGAACUCCAGCCUGUUUUGUAAGAACCAAAAUCUCUUAAGAAAGCAAGCAACAAAUGUUUCUUGAAAAAAAAGAAGCAAAUUACAAGGCUUUUUCAGUCUCUUACUGUUGUAUCUUGGAACAGUUUAAUUCAAAUGCUUCCUGAGAGAUGUAUCACAAGCAGCUGGCACUUCUGACUUAUUCUUAGUGCAUUAUAAAAAAAAAAAAAAAGUAUUCUGAGAACUCCACAAUUCACAGGUUGUCAUUUUUUAAAAUACACCAGGCCUAGUUAGUCUUACAUCACCUUUAUAUCGCUCCUGAGGUUGCUGUACUGUAGUGUAGGCUUGGAAAACUGAAAACAUGGCUGCUUUAUGGAACUUGGGGCAUAAAAACAUAUCGUGCUUGUGCUCCAAACACCUUCCAUUGGUACUUUAUGAAUUGAAAAAAUGAAAGACCAAAUGGAGGAACUAUAGAAGCUGUGGAGGAUAAUGCUGAAUGCUGUGAGCAAUGGAGAAGAGGUCCAUCCAGUAGCAUGGCUGAUCUGCAGCUGGUGCCAAGAUGUCUGCUGCCAGCUGCAUCCCUGGUACCUGGAGAUCUCACUCAAUGCACCCCAGCCUGACUAAAAAUACUCAAAUGCAGCCUUGUCCUUAUCAACCACAGAGCAGUAGCCAUGCUAGAGGUACUUCUGAUUGGGAUUCUUUCCAGGCCCUGCAAACAAAAUAAGAGGGAAACAAAACAAGUUGUCAUCACUAGAAUGCUAAUUGAGCUAAACAGAGGAAUACUGUUUUGGUGAAUACAUAUAUUUUUUAAUUUUUGCCAUAUAGAGACAGGUAUAUGUAUGUAUAUGUAUAUCUAUCUAUAUAUAUAUAUUUGGAUGUAUAAAGAUGGGCAUUAACAGAACCUUGUCAUGCUCACGGGAAAUACGCCUUUAUGUUUGGAGCAUAGAAUAUGAAAAUUAUCUCUGUGAAGUCAGCCACUAUUAAAACUUGGUAUUUUUCAUAAAAGCCUGAUCAAAACCAUAUGCAGUUAUAACCAAAACCCCAUAACUUACUUUGAAAUUUAGAAAUGUCCUUCAUCUUCUUUUCCUGGCAGAAAGCAUUUAACACAGUAAGGAAAUUUAAGUGUUGGAAACUUCUCAAGUUAAAUUAAAGAUUAAAACAUUUGGGGUGCCAGGGAAUUGAAGGAGUAGAAAUGGAUUGGAGCUGUAGAUAUAUAUUGAUACUAACGUGAAGGCAAAAAAUCCCAAAUGAGUGAAAGAAGCCAAGGUUGUCUUUUACAUUUUCAACAUAUUUAUUUGUCUAUCGCAUCUAUUGUAUAUCUGUCUGUCCUAUUAUCAUUAUUAUCUUUUAUUUAAAACAAAAGUAACAGAAUGUACACGUU
ensembl:lncRNA